UAAACACCUCCAUGCACAAAUGUCCAUGCGUCCAGUUAACAUCUUAAUAUAAGAUGGAAAUCUCACACAAUCAUAAAACACCGUAUAGAUUAGCAUAUUACCGCAUUAAAAUAACAAUAUGGAUAGAUAAUCGAAGUAAAUGGGUGGGUUUCGGAUUAUCUAGACAUGUGUGGACGCAGAUAAAAGAAAAUUAUAGUCAUCGAUCGAGCACAGCUACUUAUUAGGGACCCACUUACACCGCCAACUUUUUUCUUAUUAAUUCGAUAAUGUGCAUUAUUACUUUUUAAUAAUGUUGGAGUUUUCUCCAAAUUAAAUUCCCCAUCAUCAGGGUCACGGACGAGCUGAAUUUUAUCUCAGACAGGAGCAUUUUUAUCAACCGCAAAUACCGUAAACAAACACGAUCACACGUCGUUGGCGUGUUUGGGACACUUGUAAUGAUUCUGUUAUCAAAAAGGCCUAUUAAAAUAGAUCGAAGGUAAGGCGGCGGUUCCCAUCUUGGAACGGACACAACAAGAAUAGUGAGCAUCUGAAUGCGGGGCAAAAAAGCAACAAUUUCGAAUUGAAUGACACUUGUAUAUAAGUUGGUCUGAAAUACGAUCCGUUUUGUUUUCAACGUAUAAAAGUUGCGUGCGAGAAUCGCCCUUGUGGCACAAAUGCCCCAACAUACCAACUUCAACUAAAGUAAUUGGGAUCAUGAAAUUAAUCGCGGACCGCUCCUGACGAUUUUUUCAGAAAUAGUGACAACAAUUGAUUGGCCGAUAAGCAUCUCCUUUAUAUGCAAUCCUCGCUACCAAUUAAGCCCCUUGCUUGCUCGAGUGGAAUUACACAAUGUUAUUGCG